CGCCUGUUUAUCAAAAACAUGGUUUUUUGAUUUAUAAUUUAAGAUUUGGCCUGCCCACUGAUGAAAUAUUUUUGAAGGGCCGCGGUAUUUUGACCGUGCAAAGGUAGCAUAAUCAUUAGUCUUUUAAUUGGGGACUGGAAUGAAUGGUUUGACGAGAUGCUUUCUGUCUCGUAAUGAUAUUUUGAAUUUAACUUUUGAGUUAAAAGGCUUAAAUGUUUUUAUAGGACGAGAAGACCCUAUAGAGCUUUAUAUAAAUUAUAUUUAUUUAUUUUUGGUAAUUAUUUUUAAUAAUUAUUUUUUGUAUUUUAUUGGGGUGAUGUAAAGAAUUAUUAAACUCUUUAUAUAUUAUAACAUUAAUUUAUGGUUGUGUGAUCCAGUAUUAUUGAUUAUAAGAUUAAGUUACCUUAGGGAUAACAGCGUAAUUUUUUUUGAGAGUUCAUAUCUACAAGAAAGAUUGCGACCUCGAUGUUGGAUUAAGGUAUAAUAUUAGGUGUAGAAUUUUAAUAUUUAAGUCUGUUCGACUAUAAUUCCUUACGUGAUCUGAGUUCAGACCGG
rnacentral:rRNA from 1 species